rnacentral:lncRNA from 1 species
GGAAAACAGAUUCAGUACAAAGCUCCCUCCUUUUUUCCCCUAGAGCCACACAAAAACUCGGAAGUGAGGGUGGGAUGUAGCAGCACGUGACCAAAUCAACCAACACGCCAAAGUGCAGCCUGUGGUUCCACACCAAUGAAAGAAGGGCAGGGUUUUUCCCUGGCAUCUGGCGCCGGGCACCCGGCAGCCUCACACUGUGGCAUGCGAGGGACUGCGAGACUGCACUUCUGGGGUGUGCGGCAGGGGACGGAGGGCACAGCGCACAGCGCGGCACUCGGUGUGCAGGAUGGCAAAAAAAAAGAAAAGAUGACUUUAUAGGAGAAAUAAUGGUGAUAAUCUAGGAACCAUUUCGAGAUCAUUGGAAAAUUGAGAACAUAGGUGCAUCUGUUCAAGAGGCAAGCACUGAAAGACACAGCCUGAUGAUUUUUUAGUAAGUAUGGAAAUGGAUCCAUAUGGGGUUAGAUGAAGAAAGGGAACGCUGAG